GACGAACGCUGGCGGCGUGCCUAAUACAUGCAAGUAGAACGCACAGUUUAUACCGUAGCUUGCUACACCAUAGACUGUGAGUUGCGAACGGGUGAGUAACGCGUAGGUAACCUGCCUGGUAGCGGGGGAUAACUAUUGGAAACGAUAGCUAAUACCGCAUAAUAUUAAUUAUUGCAUGAUAAUUAAUUGAAAGGUGCAAUUGCACCACUACCAGAUGGACCUGCGUUGUAUUAGCUAGUAGGUGAGGUAACGGCUCACCUAGGCGACGAUACAUAGCCGACCUGAGAGGGUGAUCGGCCACACUGGGACUGAGACACGGCCCAGACUCCUACGGGAGGCAGCAGUAGGGAAUCUUCGGCAAUGGACGAAAGUCUGACCGAGCAACGCCGCGUGAGUGAAGAAGGUUUUCGGAUCGUAAAGUUCUGUUGUAAGAGAAGAACGGGUGUGAGAGUGGAAAGUUCACACUGUGACGGUAUCUUACCAGAAAGGGACGGCUAACUACGUG
rnacentral:rRNA from 1 species